AAAGCUAUAGCUCAGUGGCAGAGUGUCUGCUUUGCAUGCAAGAGGUCCUGUGUUCAAUCCCCAUUCAUUUUA